rnacentral:misc_RNA from 1 species
UUAAAAAAAGGUUGUCAGACUAAAAUCACAAAAAUGUCAAAAUCUUAAGUGUAGAAAAAUCAUUAAAAAAAUUUAUUCUAUAUAUGUAAAACCCAAAAAAACAUGCUAGCUGUCCACUUAGGCUUACCGAGACAAUCUGAAAUUCUUAUAAUAAUAUUCUUAGGAAUAUGCUUCCUGUCCCUGGAUUUUUCCUUAUUCCACCUAAGAUCUAGUCUGGAGGAAAUAUGGAAUACAGAACUUAAUCUGGAAAGAACUAAAUACUUAGAGACUCCCCUUAAGUAUAUAACAACUGGAGUACUACUAGCAAGAACUUUAACUUUACAUGCAUUUUUAGCUUUUUAUGUUGUAAUGUUAUGGCCGGCAAUAUUUGAAGAAAAACCAAGCCUAAUGCUACCAUGGCUUUUACUUGGCAUAAUCAGAUGCUUGAUUCUAAAUAUUAUCACUUUUGUGGUUGGCACCUAUAUUUGUCAUAAGGAAAGAGGAUUUAGUCCAAUAUGUUUUGAAUAUAUUCUUAGUCAGUUUAUUGAGCACGGGCCAUCUAUUUAUGCUUGGAUGGCAAUUUUAAACUUCUACAGAGACCUAGUUUAUGAAGACGAAACCCCUCAAUCAUCCAGAGAUUCAUUACUUUCAAACGAACAUCAUGAUAUGAGGCUUUCUUCCAGCCAUGAACAAAAUAGUCAUAAGAAAAGAUCCCGCAGCUUAUCAAGAUUAAAUCAAGACUAUUUGUAUAGUAAUAAGUUAAAAUAUUUACCAGGAGAUCCAUCGAUAGAGAAGCUGAUAGCUCAGUUAAAAAAUGAACUUAUAAAUGAAAAACCGAUUAUAAGAGAUAGAUCAAAAUCUUUUGACGGAUCCUUUACCAUAGAUGAUAAUCUCGAUGACAAAGAAGAGGCAAUUGGAGAAUCUCUUACAAUUUUAGAAAAAUCUUUAAUAUUCUUAGCAAUACCGAACUCCUAUGUCAAUACAGCUAAAGAGCAGAAAAAAAGAUAUGAUAAUAUUAUGCAGGACAUCUCUAUCAAAGAUGUAAAAGAUCUUUUAAAUGAAGAGUCCCUAACACGCUCCACGUCGCGAAUCAAUAAAAGGAUUAAGUCAAUACAAUCACAUUCUGAUACAGAAAUCCAAAAGCCAAAGAAAUGUUACUGUGUACGUACUAAAAUGCAAGAAGAAAAUUCCCAGCAAGCUCUUUUAAUCGAACAAGAAAUUGCUAAUAUUAGCUUGGAUCUAAAUACGCUUGAUAAAUUUAAAUCACAUCAAUCAGAGAAGAAGGUGUUAGAACAUAAAAUGCUUACUUGCGAUACGAAACUCGUAUAGAGUAAGAGUAGCUGAGGAUAUUAUCUUGGGUUUCAGAAAAAUGAGUUUUUACAAAAAAGCAUCAGUUUAAUUAUGAUUUUCUUCGAAGUUUUAUAUUUUAAUAACUUGCACAAAGGAAGCGAUCAAUAAGGGAGCCUAAAGAAAGUGAAGUAAGAGAAGGAGAAGAAAAGACGUUAAAACCGACAAAGAAACAAAAAAGGAAGAAAGGAACUGGUGCAAAACAAGCGAAUA